CCUCCCAGCUUCAAGCAAUGCUCCCACCUUGGCCUCCCAAAGUGCUGGUAUUACAGGCAUGAGCCACCAUGCUUGGCCCAUUGCCAUUGCACUUCAGCUCGUUCUCCUGAACAGUGAAUUAUCUUAGGAAAGAUUGUAUUUUCAGGAAUUAAGUCUACUGGAGGCACAGCAGGACUCCACAGCCAGCUAGAUUCAGAUAAAAUGUAGACCGCCUCAAGGCCAGUGUGUUGACUUCUGACCAGUCUCAUCUGAACCCACAGCCUUUAACAUAUAUACAAAACACCCUGAAGGGUUGGGCUGCCAGCUUUCUUUAGGAUGAUAGAGGGCAGGUUAAGUUUGUUUGACAUAACUGGAAGAGGCAGAGCCUCUUCCUAAUGGAGCAAGGUCCAUUUAUGGCAAAUUGUGGUUCCCCACCACUCUCAGCUACUUCUGGAUAGCUUUUGCUUAGAGUUGAUGAGAUAUUGUUUCUUUCACUAGAAGAAAGUGAAUGAGUUGGUGAUCUCAAACUUCGGUCUCCAAAGGAAGCCUGGGCA